CGGUGGAUCUGUUACCUCGGUAUGCAAACUGGUAGGGGUCCAGGGUGGCGGGGAGGGUGGAUUUGAUGUGGGCCAUGACUAACCUUUCAAAGCACUUCAUGGCGAUGGGGGUCAGUGCAACGGUCCUUCAGCACACGGCCAGGAAUGUUGUCUGGACCUGCAGCCUUGCGGGUGUUGAUCUUGGAGAAGGUUCUCUUCACGCUGGCUGCAGUCAGGCACAGGGUCUGGUCGUGGGGAGGGGGGGUGGUCUUCUGUGGGGGCGUGCUGUUGUGUGCUUCAAACCUGGCAAAGAAGCUGUUGAGGUCGUUCAGCAGAGAGGUGUUGCUGUCACAGGUCUGUGGCUUGGGUUUGUAGUCCGUGAUGGUCUGGAUACCACGCCACAGGCUCUGCGCGUCUCUGCUGUCCUUGAAGUGUCCGGUUAU